rnacentral:rRNA from 1 species
CAGUAGCCACGGUAAUACGGAGGGAGCUAGCGUUGUUCGGAAUUACUGGGCGUAAAGCGCACGUAGGCGGUUAUUCAAGUCAGAGGUGAAAGCCCGGGGCUCAACCCCGGAACUGCCUUUGAAACUAGAUGACUGGAAUCUUGGAGAGGUCAGUGGAAUUCCGAGUGUAGAGGUGAAAUUCGUAGAUAUUCGGAAGAACACCAGUGGCGAAGGCGACUGACUGGACAAGUAUUGACGCUGAGGUGCGAAAGCGUGGGGAGCAAACAGGAUUAGAUACCCCUGUAGUCCCUGUCUCUUAUAC